rnacentral:rRNA from 1 species
GUGGGGGAUAUUGGACAAUGGGGGAAACCCUGAUCCAGCGACGCCGCGUGAGUGAAGAAGUAUUUCGGUAUGUAAAGCUCUAUCAGCAGGGAAGAAAGAAAUGACGGUACCUGAGUAAGAAGCCCCGGCUAACUACGUGCCAGCAGCCGCGGUAAUACGUAGGGGGCAAGCGUUAUCCGGAAUUACUGGGUGUAAAGGGAGCGUAGACGGUAAUGCAAGUCUGGAGUGAAAGGCGGGGGCCCAACCCCCGGACUGCUCUGGAAACUGUGUAACUGGAGUGCAGGAGAGGCAGGCGGAAUUCCUAGUGUAGCGGUGAAAUGCGUAGAUAUUAGGAGGAACACCAGUGGCGAAGGCGGCCUGCUGGACUGUAACUGACGUUGAGGCUCGAAAGCGUGGGGAGCAAACAGGAUUAGAAACCCUAGUAGUCC